UACGUAGGGGGCAAGCGUUAUCCGGAUUUACUGGGUGUAAAGGGAGCGUAGACGGCCAGACAAGUCAGAAGUGAAAGCCCAGGGCUCAACCCUGGGACUGCUUUUGAGACUGCCGGGCUGGAGUGCAGGAGAGGUAAGCGGAAUUCCUAGUGUAGCGGUGAAAUGCGUAGAUAUUAGGAGGAACACCAGUGGCGAAGGCGGCUUACUGGACUGUAACUGACGUUGAGGCUCGAAAGCGUGGGGAGCAAACAGG
rnacentral:rRNA from 1 species